AACGAACGCUGGCGGCAGGCUUAACACAUGCAAGUCGAGCGCAUCCUUCGGGGUGAGCGGCAGACGGGUGAGUAACGCGUGGGAAUCUACCUUUUGCUACGGAAUAGCUCCGGGAAACUGGAAUUAAUACCGUAUGUGCCCUUAGGGGGAAAGAUUUAUCGGCAAGAGAUGAGCCCGCGUUGGAUUAGCUAGUUGGUGGGGUAAAGGCCUACCAAGGCGACGAUCCAUAGCUGGUCUGAGAGGAUGAUCAGCCACAUUGGGACUGAGACACGGCCCAAACUCCUACGGGAGGCAGCAGUGGGGAAUAUUGGACAAUGGGCGCAAGCCUGAUCCAGCCAUGCCGCGUGAGUGAUGAAGGCCUUAGGGUUGUAAAGCUCUUUCACCGGAGAAGAUAAUGACGGUAUCCGGAGAAGAAGCCCCGGCUAACUUCGU
rnacentral:rRNA from 1 species